AUUGAACGCUGGCGGCAUGCCUUACACAUGCAAGUCGAACGGUAACAGGUCUUCGGAUGCUGCCGAGUGGCGAACGGGUGCGUAAUACAUCGGAACGUGCCCGAUCGUGGGGGACAACGAGGCGAAAGCUUUGCUAAUACCGCAUACGAUCUACGGAUGAAAGCGGGGGAUCUUCGGACCUCGCGCGGACGGAGCGGCCGAUGGCAGAUUAGGUAGUUGGUGGGAUAAAAGCUUACCAAGCCGACGAUCUGUAGCUGGUCUGAGAGGAUGAUCAGCCACACUGGGACUGAGACACGGCCCAGACUCCUACGGGAGGCAGCAGUGGGGAAUUUUGGACAAUGGGCGAAAGCCUGAUCCAGCCAUGCCGCGUGCAGGAUGAAGGCCUUCGGGUUGUAAACUGCUUUUGUACGGAACGAAAAGCCUCUUUCUAAUAAAGAGAGGUCAUGACGGUACCGUAAGAAUAAGCACCGGCUAACUACGUG
rnacentral:rRNA from 1 species